rnacentral:rRNA from 1 species
GCGUAGGGUAAGUAGGUUGUGGGAAAAUGAGAAAAUAAAAUACUAGAUAAUCAUCUUUUUAGUUUUCUUAAUAUCUCACUUGAAUUUGAGACGGGAUUAUGGUAUAUGCAGUGAUGGGUUAAAUCAGUUGAUAUGUAUUAGGACCGACAGUGGUGAAAGCAAUUAUCUUGUCCAAUAUUGAGCUAAUAUACGAAGGCAAGGUAGCGAAAAGGAUUAGAUACCCUUGUAGUCUGUGUGUCAACGCUGAGUUUUCAAUGUAGGAAUAGUUUUUACAAUUUUUUAUAGAUUGCUGAAAAGGUAUUAAUUAUACUAAAAACAUAUAUCUUGGUGUUUGAGUAACGCAUUAAAUUCUCCGCUGGGAAGUACGGCCGCAGGUUGAAACUCAAAAGAAUUGAGGUGACUUGUACAAGG